GGAGAGAGAAAGAAAGAAGAUGAUGGUUUUUUUUAUUAUCUUUUAAGCUCUUCAAUUGUUUUGCUCGUGUGGCGGUGUGGGUAGUCGGAGUAAUUGGUUUGUACAUACGCGUAUAGAUCUUUGGAUUAAUUAUGAAUGUGCAUAUUUUUUAAACUAAAUAUGCAUAUUUUUUGAACUAAAUAUAAAUUUAGCUUAAAAAAUAUGCACAUAUUGUUCAAAAGAUAUGCACAUAUAGUUAAAAAAAUAUGCAUAAAGGUUCUCACGAUAAAAGAAGUUCUCACUUUAAGGUGGUUCUCACAGGAACCUCACCCUACAUCUCUAUUAUAUAAGCCAACUCCUGAGGGUUUUUUUGGUAAAUUAACUUUUCGUGUCCACUUGAGAAAAUACAAUAAUGCCCUCCCCCGUUUAACCGUUAAUCACAGUUACAAACCCUAAAAUGUCGCGGUCUCUUACCGCACACUCUCCUCCCCCUCUCUCUCUCUCUCCCUCCCUCCCUCCCUCCCUCCAUCUCAACUCCAUCUCCCUUUCUUUCGAUGCGUGAAACCUCAGCAGCAACUAUGGUAAGUCUUCAUCUUCUCCCUUUCUCUAUCUUCUAUUCUUCGAUUCAUCUUCGUCUUCUACCCCUGAGAUCGGAUUAUUUUUGUUUAAUGGCAAAAAGAAACAGAAACGGCAAACCUAAUUCAAUUUACAUAACCCAAAACCUUUGAAUCUCCACAAAUCAAAACACACUCAGAAAACACAAUCACAAAGAGAGAAAAUUUUCUCAGAAAACCUUUGAAUCUCUCUCUCUCCAAAAUCAACUGAUUUGUUUUCCCCAAAUUUGACUUCGAAACUCUUCGAGAAUUUGAUUUCUCUCUUAAUGAAUGGGCAAAAGCUGCCGCUGCGUGAGAAAGACGCAUUGCAAUGGUUGAAUUAGAGAGGAGUGAAGGAGACAUAAAUCAUAGUUUUAUGACAUUGGAAGAAAUCAGGUUAGAGAAUGAUAAGCAUAAUAAUGGGUAAAACGAGCUAAUCCGAGAACAAGGAGAAUGCAGCAGCAGCUGUCCUUCUUACUAUUUGGACAAAUUCACCCUCUGGAAAACCCUAGCUGUUCGAAUUUCUCUACUGAUCUCACUUUGAAGAUGGUGAUUUUAAGAAAGAAGAUGUUGCAGAUCCUACUGGCAGGAGUGGUUCCUUUCCAAACGAAUAGGAAAUUGCAAUUUAACGUCACAGAAAGUGUUGAAUACUGCUGGAUGGACUAUGAAUUAGAUGCAGCAAUAUAACUCAGAUGUAAUACUACUAAGUGCAGUUGGACAGGAAGCAAGAGAGGGUGUGAAAGAGCCUAGACCAGAAGUUUAUAAAGAUCAGAAUUACUAUGGAGGUAAUUUUAAUCAGAAACAGGGUGGGGAUUCGACGGUGCAAGGUUCGAGGACGAGUGACGGCAAGGUGGAGUCUGGAUCAGAAAGAAGGGGUUAGUAUUAUCGACUGUAUAUUUCUUUGUGAUUUGAUGAUUUUUGAUUUGAUGAUUAGAUGAUGAUUAUGAUGAUGAUGGGAGAAUUGUUAAUGGUGUUACUGGACAUAUGACAGCUCUACGGAAAUGAAGGAGACUAUAACGGGAAGGGAAAUUAUGGAGUCUUAUAAAACUAGGGAAAUUAUUUUUUUCUAAUGUAUUUAUUUAACUUUGAGCUUCGUACAUCGCGUGCAUCUCUAUUAAUUUUAGAACAUUUAUUGUUUAUGCAGUCGCUCUAGACCCGAAGCUCGGGGUAGUCCUGAAUUUGUUAAAGAUGAAAGCCCUGCUAAUGGAAGAUACCACAGUCGCUUUAGACUUGAGGUCGAGGAACGCCUGAUUAUCCUAAAGAUGAACUUCUAAUGGAAGAUAUCACAUGUUCAUCGUUCUAGACCUGAAACUCAGGGGAACUCCUGAUUAUGCUAAAGAUGAAGGCCUUGCUAAUGGAGGAAGAUACCACAGUCGAUCUCCUCCACCACGAGAGAGGUCGAGAUCCUAAGCAAGGAGAUGGUCACAAAUCGGUCACUUGAAGGGCUGUUUCUGGAGAGGGGACGAUAUCCUAAGCAAAGAAAUGAUCUUGAAUCAGUAUUUGUCAAGUGCAGGUUUUAGAGGAGAGCUAUAGUUGCUUAAAAGUACCCUAUUUGUGAAAAUGCAUGUAUCAACAAAUUUACAAUUGAAUUUGAUAUUGUGUUAGUGGUUUGAUGUAUUUUGAUAUCCCUUUAGAAGAGGGUUCAUAAGUGCUUAUGCUGUUGUCGAACCGUGGCUGAACUAUUUGUAUAUAGACAUGAUUUCAAGUGUGAACAUUUUGUAAAUUUUGUUAAUUUUAUGGAGACGUUCUUGAGUCA